GCACAGGAAGCGAUACCGCACUAAGUUUCGGCCUUAGCCUUGAACAUUAGUUCCCUGUGUU
rnacentral:tRNA from 1 species